rnacentral:rRNA from 1 species
GUAGGUGGCAAGCGUUGUCCGGAAUUAUUGGGCGUAAAGCGCGCGCAGGUGGUUCCUUAAGUCUGAUGUGAAAGCCCCCGGCUCAACCGGGGAGGGUCAUUGGAAACUGGGGAACUUGAGUGCAGGAGAGGAAAGUGGAAUUCCACGUGUAGCGGUGAAAUGCGUAGAUAUGUGGAGGAACACCAGUGGCGAAGGCGACUUUCUGGCCUGUAACUGACACUGAGGCGCGAAAGCGUGGGGAGCAAACAGGGAUUAGAUACCCUGGUAGUCCACGCCGUAAACGAUGAGUGCUAAGUGUUGGGGGGGUUUCCCGCCCCUCAGUGCUGCAGCUAACGCAUUAAGCACUCCGCCUGGGGAGUACGGCCGCAAGGCUG